CAGCUGAUAACACACAACAAAAAAGCUUUCUUCUAAGAACAGUGCUACAUUAUUUUCCAGGCUUCCUUCACUUGAUUCAGGGAAGUGACCAUUUUAUUUUAUUUUUUUCAAAUAGAAUGUGAGUGGAAACUAUACGAGCUGCUAAUGGGACAAGGCAUUUAAGAAUCAUCCGAGUUCUUCUCUUCUUGCUGGCUGGAGCUAAGAAUUCAAGAACAAACACCAGCAAAGAGAUUCAAUACAAAUAUCCAAUUUUGAGAUAAGGGAUGGAUAACCAUAGUGCAUGCCCUCAGAUAUUUUAAUCUUUAUGAAACAUUUGAAGACCUCGAGAAAGUACAAUACCCUUGGUUCUACACAGAUGCUGUCAUGAAUUCAUCUUAUAUCAGUUUCAUAAAUCUGAGAAAACAAACUAGAGAGAAGGCAACACAUAUUUCAUUUUAGCUGUGAGCAACUUCCAUUGUGAAUCAAGGAUUCAUUCAAAAUACAUCUGGUAUGAGGUUUUGCUUUUCACAGAAUGGCAACAUCUAACCUCAUCACACAGGUGAGGACAAAGCAAUUGUAUCUUUUAGAGAGGCACACAUUUUAAAACUUCAGAUGUGGGUUUUCAGAUGUAGGAAAAAAAGCUUUGUAAUUUCUCCUAUAAAAAAGCCACCACUCACCUCUAUCUUGGGUGUGCUACAUGAAGCACACCAAGGAAUAUGAAGUUCAACUCUGUGAUUAUGAUUUUCAAAUGUUAAAUAAAUAAACAAAUAUGGUGAACUCUCCUCAUUUGUUUCCCUUUGGUAGAGAAAAACAGGGCAAAAAUGAAGUACAUCCUGGUAUAGAAUUUAUAGUGUGACAUACAAAAUGUGAGAUUAUGUGUUCUUCACAUUGCUUGCUUUAUCUAAAUUUCAUGUAGAUAUAUGGACAAGACCCCAUUCAUCUUAUGACUACAGUAUAUUGCACUUGAAAAAAAAUAGUGUUCUUAAGCUUCACCUUUUUACAGAAUCCAUGUAGUCAAAUACCAUUGAGGAUAGUUGAGUGGUCACUAUGUUGUAAUAUCAGACAAAGAUGACAGUGAAUCUGCAAAAGAAGAAAGCAUUCUGAGGACCACUGAUUCCAGAGCAGGUGAAGGUAAGAGUAUAUUUCAAAACAGAACACAAAAGAAUCUAUGCUCACAGGCUAUAUUUCGAAGGAUAGAUUUUUCAAAAAUCUU